AUGGGCUGCAUUCACACCAAAACCAUGAAGAAAGCAGCCUGGUCACCACUGAGAAGUACUGCAUGUGCCUAGACAAUGACUCCCACACCAACAAGCUCAAGUGUAAGGAGAUCGCUGUUAUUCCCGGCAAGAAGCCCCUCAGCAAGAUCACAGGCUAUGUCAAACAUCUGAUGAAAUGGAUUGAGAGGAGCCUGGUGAGUGGUAUCUCCAUCCAUCUGCAGGAGGAGGAGAGAGAAAGGAGAGAUGAUUAUGUUGCUCAGAUCUCCACCCUGGAUCAGGAAAUCAUUGGAGUCGAUCCUGACACUAAGGAAAUGUUGAAAUUCUUGGGCUUUAUCAGUCUGUCCAAACUGCAGGUCACUCAGCCUACAGUUGGGAUGAAUUCCAAAACACCAUGUGGAACCUUGAACAACAACAAUGACAAAUUCCCAAAACAGAUAAGGAAAUGUGAUUUACCAUGAUAGAGAAUCAGCAAACACAGUCAUGGCUAAAUGAAAUGAUAAAUAACCAAACCAGACAAAAUAAAACAAGUAAACUACACAGAACUAUCUGGGAGAGACUAUAAAAUAAUAUUGUAAAUGAUUACAGAGAUGAAGGAAUAGAAACCACAAGGAAAUAACAUUCAAAAAAGAAACUGGAAGAUCCUAUAAAAAGAGAUUAGAUUAGCAAUUUUAAAACUUCCCACAAAACAAAGUUCAGACCUAGUUGGCCUCCCUGGCAAAUGCUACUAAACAUUCAAAGAAAGAAAAAUACCAAUUCUUCAUAAACUCUUCCAAAAAUAGAAGAUGAGGGAACACUUCCCAAUUCCUUCUAUAGGGUCAGUUAUUGCCCAGUUAUCAAAACCAGUCAAAGACAUCACAAGAAAACAACACAUCAAUGUUCUUUAUGAUAUAGAUGUGAGAGUCAUCAACAAAAUACUAGCAA